UUGAAUUUUAAUGAAGAGUUUGGUUGUAGCUGGCCCAUUCAUUUGGGCAUGUGCACACCUUCCUCUUUCAUCCCACACACACCUGUGAACCUGUGAGACAGAGAUGGGGAAUUUACUUGCUGCUUUUUGGAAUACAAAGGCAAUAGGUUAUUGGACCCCCCCUCUGUCUACUCAAUUAAUAUAAACUCAAUUUAUUUAAAACGAAUGUAGUGGAUGUAACACAUCUCAUAC
rnacentral:misc_RNA from 1 species